AGUGAACGCUGGCGGUAGGCCUAACACAUGCAAGUCGAACGGCAGCACAGUAAGAUCUCUCUCUUACUGUUAGCGGCUGGCGGACGGGUGACAAAUACAUAGGAAUCUUCUUUUUCUUGGGGGAUAACGUAGGAAAACUUAUGCUACUACCUCAUACUACGUACGGGUUAAAUCAGGAGUUCUUCCGACCUUGCGCGACUGUAUUAGCUGGUGUCGGAUUAGCUAGUUGGCUUGGUAAAGGCCUACCAAGGCGACGAUGCGUAGCUGGUCUGAGAGGAUGAUCAGCCACACUGGAACUGAGACACGGUCCAGACUCCUACGGGAGGCAGCAGUGGGGAAUCUUGGGCAAUGGGCGCAAGCCUGAUGGAGCCAUGCCGCGUGAGUGAAGAAGGCCUUCGGGUUGUAAAGCCCUUUUGUUAGGAAAGAAAAGAAGCAGGUUAAUACCCGGAUGUUUUGACGGUACCUAAAGAGUAAGCAACGGCUAACUACGUG
rnacentral:rRNA from 1 species